rnacentral:sRNA from 1 species
ACACACACACACACCCCCCAACACACACUCCCUGUCCCCUUUCUCCACCCUGCAAGCUAGUUGCAUUUAGCUCACAGAGCCUGGGCUGCGACUUGAAAGAGUUUAGGCAGCAACAGAGUGACCCUGGGGGUGCUCUUGACCGACAGCCGCACCCCCGGCGUCUAGGACCUCCGAGCAGGGAUGCAUCUGGAGGUCUAGGGAAGCACUUCCACCCCCUCCUCUCCUCAACCCUGGCAGGAUGUGCCCGAAAUGCCAGCUCCUCCUUGGUGUUCUCCUUUCAGGAUUUGAAUUCAAAUCCCAUUGGCAGCCCUGAUACCGCUGGGGGAAGGGUGAGGCUACUGCUGCUUCAAGACAGUGACGUUUCUCUCCGGUCAGCUGUCAGGAGCGCUGCUGGGUCUUACUGGGGAUCUGGCCAGCCUUGGGGGCCCUUGGAGCCCUGGCCCAGUGGAAGCUCGUGCCUGAGGAACAUGGAGGCCACGCUAAUGGUGAGUUAGUGCUGUGGUACAGAAGCAGCCAACCUGUGCCUACUCAU